rnacentral:rRNA from 2 species
UAACGACUCUCGGCAACGGAUAUCUCGGCUCUCGCAUCGAUGAAGAACGUAGCAAAAUGCGAUACUUGGUGUGAAUUGCAGAAUCCCGUGAACCAUCGAGUUUUUGAACGCAAGUUGCGCCCCAAGCCGUCAGGCCGAGGGCACGCCUGCCUGG